rnacentral:rRNA from 1 species
UCAUGGAAGCUGGCAGCGCCCGAAGUCGCCACGAUUCAGUGGUGCCCACGGUGAGGCUGGUGACUGGGACUAAGUCGUAACAAGGUAGCCGUAGGGGAACCUGCGGCUGGAUCACCUCCUUUCUAAGG